rnacentral:rRNA from 1 species
UCAGAACGACGCUGGCGGCAGGCCUUACACAUGCAAGUCGAGCGCUUUCCUUCGGGGAGGAGCGGCGGACGGGUUAGUAACGCGUGGGAACAUACCCUUUUCUACGGAAUAGCCUCGGGAAACUGAGAGUAAUACCGUAUACGCCCUUCGGGGGAAAGAUUUAUCGGAGAAGGAUUGGCCCGCGUUAGAUUAGAUAGUUGGUGGGGUAACGGCCUACCAAGUCUACGAUCUAUAGCUGGUUUUAGAGGAUGAUCAGCAACACUGGGACUGAGACACGGCCCAGACUCCUACGGGAGGCAGCAGUGGGGAAUCUUGGACAAUGGGCGCAAGCCUGAUCCAGCCAUGCCGCGUGAGUGAUGAAGGCCUUAGGGUCGUAAAGCUCUUUCGCCAGAGAUGAUAAUGACAGUAUCUGGUAAAGAAACCCCGGCUAACUCCGUGCCAGCAGCCGCGGUAAUACGGAGGGGGUUAGCGUUGUUCGGAAUUACUGGGCGUAAAGCGCACGUAGGCGGACUAGUAAGUAAGAGGUGAAAUCCCAGGGCUCAACCCUGGAACUGCCUUUUAAACUGCUAGUCUUGAGUUCGAGAGAGGUGAGUGGAAUUCCGAGUGUAGAGGUGAAAUUCGUAGAUAUUCGGAGGAACACCAGUGGCGAAGGCGGCUCACUGGCUCGAUACUGACGCUGAGGUGCGAAAGUGUGGGGAGCAAACAGGAUUAGAUACCCUGGUAGUCCACACCGUAAACGAUGAAUGCCAGUCGUCGGGUAGCAUGCUAUUCGGUGACACACCUAACGGAUUAAGCAUUCCGCCUGG